CGCCCUACGGGAGGCAGCAGUCGGGAAUAUUGCGCAAUGGAGGAAACUCUGACGCAGUGACGCCGCGUAUAGGAAGAAGGUUUUCGGAUUGUAAACUUUUGUCGUUAGGGAAGAGAAAGGACAGUACCUAAGGAGGAAGCUCCGGCUAACUACGUGCCAGCAGCCGCGGUAAUACGUAGGGAGCGAGCGUUAUCCGGAAUUAUUGGGUGUAAAGGGUGCGUAGACGGUAAAACAAGUUUGUUGUGAAAUCCCUCGGCUUAACUGCGGAACUGCACCUAAAACUAUUUUUCUUGAGUGCAGGAGAG
rnacentral:rRNA from 1 species